CACGUAGGCACCAAGCGUUGUCCGGAUUUAUUGGGCGUAAAGAGCUCGUAGGCGGUUCAGUAAGUCGGGUGUGAAAACUCAGGGCUCAACCCUGAGCGGCCACCCGAUACUGCUGUGACUUGAGUCCGGUAGGGGAGUGGGGAAUUCCUGGUGUAGCGGUGAAAUGCGCAGAUAUCAGGAGGAACACCGGUGGCGAAGGCGCCACUCUGGGCCGAGACUGACGCUGAGGAGCGAAAGCGUGGGUAGCAAA
rnacentral:rRNA from 1 species